GCCCUCGUAGUUCAAUGGAUAGAACGGGAGCCUUCUAAGUUCUUAAUGUAGGUUCGAUUCCUACCGAGGGCACAA
rnacentral:tRNA from 1 species